rnacentral:rRNA from 1 species
GACGAACGCUGGCGGCGUGCUUAACACAUGCAAGUCGAACGGAGUGGCGAACGGGUGAGUAAUACGUGGGUGAUCUGCCUUGCACUUCGGGAUAAGCUUGGGAAACUGGGUCUAAUACCGGAUAGUGCAAGAUGAGCUCGCGGCAUAUCAGCUUGUUGGUGGGGUAAUGUCUUACCAAGGCGUGGACGGGUAGCCGGCCUGGGAGGGUGUGCGACCACGUUGGGACUGAGAUACGGCCGAGACUCCGACGGGAGGCAGCAGUGGGGAAUAGUGCACAAUUGGCGGAAGCCUGAUGCAGCGACGCCGCGUGGGGGAUGAAGGCCUUCGGGUUGUAAACUCCUUUCGACAGGGACGCGGUACCUGUAUAAGAAGCACCGGCUAACUACGUGCCAGCAGCCGCGGUAAUUC